GGGCGAGCCGCAGACCUCAAACCUCUGACAACAAGCUAGCUGGAGGCCGGCGAGGGCGAACAUCAUCAUUCUCGUCUCAGCUAGCUGCGUGUCCGGCCUUUACGGCUGCUGGUGCCACCUCCUGAACGGGCGGCUGCACGACCGGACGCGCGACGCGGCGGAGCUGCCGGGCAGCGACCGGCGGCGGUCGACGCGGUGCCGUCCGGAGGCGCGGGAGCGGCGCCUGGGCCUCUGCACCGCGCGCGAGACGGAGCGCGCCACCGGCAGCGACCCGGACCUCUGGAGCGACCUUGCGUUGCAGGAACCGAGAGGCCGGCAGAGAGGCGUCGCGGAGAAGCGGCUGCGGAAGGGGAAGGGCAGGUGGAGGUGAAGGUGCCUACGGCGGCGUCGGCUAGUCACGGAGGGGCCGCUCGACCAGAGGCGGCACCUGCAGAUGGUCUUACCGCGCGGGGCCGGGGAGAAGAGGGCCCAGCACCUCUGGAGGUGCAGCAGGAGCACCAAGGACCGGAGCGGGAAGGCGCACCUGCGGCAGCUCACGUUCCUGGGCCGUGCCUACCGGAGCCGGAGCAAGAGCGGCAGCCUCGACCUCGACUCGACCUAGCACCAGCUGGGGGCCUCGCCCGCCCGCCACUUGCACAGCUCGGCCGCCCGCCACCGGCACCUGUCCGUGACCAUGUGCCCGCUCUGCGACCACGCCAUGCGCCACCACGAGCCGCCCUCGUUCAAGCUCCGGUGCCAGUGGACGAGUCUCCUCCGGCCCACGGAAUCGGAGUCCCUCCAGUCGGACUCGCAGCUCCUGCGGCUGCCGCGCCGCCACUCGCCGCUUCCGUCGGACGCCGAAAACCUCCGGCGCUACCUCCCCGGCUCCUCGUUUCCUCCCCUGUUUCUUUCUCUCCUCCGGUUCUCCUCCAUGCUCCUCAAGCACUCCUCGUUCUCCCCCUCCUUCCUCAGGUUCCGCUCCGCUCUCCACGAGCAGCUGGACACGACGAGGCAGCAGUCGCGGCAGCGGCACGAGUCGAAGGAGCGGAGGCAGCACGAGGCCAUCUCAGGCAGUCCGUCCCAGGCCUAUAGACCCAUUGAGCACUUUGUACAUCAUGUUGUCAAAAAGGUGAUCUUAUACUCGUUUUUCCAUGUCACUAAACUGACGACUGUCACUUCGCCCGUUUAGGAUAAAGAUGACAAUAUGGGCUUUUAAGUCCGUCGUGUCACGAGCGUUAAUUUGGUGCCACCAGAUGAGGCUGAUAACCACUGUUUAGGGUGUAACGGUGUACACAGGGUGGCCGGGAGUAACGAUCGCGAUUCGACUGCGGGUGGUCUUAGUACUAUAUGAAGUGACUCAUAUACCAGACUUGAACUAGGUCACUUCUGUCCGUUCUCGAACCUACGUCCUGCUUGAGUCUGAAGUUACGGUUAUCAAGUUACCACUGUGUGUUUAGGUGGGUCAAUUGAGUUUCAACUCGUCGGGUUUUCCGGACUGCUGCUAGCCCUUAUACGUGUGGUUUAAAUGUGUGAUGGUGGUCACGAUCGAUUGUCCGAGUCUGAUUCCGCAGCGAUGCUGCUCAUCCGGCUGCCGAAACCCAGAGCCGGUCCGAGGAAGUCUUCCAGAGGGCUCGAAAACGCCGCUGGAAACGGCGACAACGAACGCGGCCCGCGGCAAAACGAAGGUGAGAACCCCAGAACUCCGGAGAGACGUCGGCC
rnacentral:rRNA from 1 species